rnacentral:rRNA from 1 species
UACGUAGGGUGCGAGCGUUGUCCGGAAUUAUUGGGCCUAAAGCAUCCGUAGCCGGUUCUGCAAGUCUUCCGUUAAAUCCACCUGCUUAACAGAUGGGCCGCGGAAGAUACUAUAGAGCUAGGAGGCGGGAGAGGCAAGCGGUACUCGAUGGGUAGGGGUAAAAUCCGUUGAUCCAUUGAAGACCACCAGUGGCGAAGGCGGCUUGCCAGAACGCGCUCGACGGUGAGGGAUGAAAGCUGGGGGAGCAAACCGG